rnacentral:rRNA from 1 species
AGCAGCCGCGGUAAUUCCAGCUCCAAUAGCGUAUAUUAAAGUUGUUGCAGUUAAAAAGCUCGUAGUUGAAUUUCGGGAUCAAGGAAUCGGUCAUGCCUUGGUAUGUACUGGUUUUAUUGGUUCUCACCUUCUAAAGAACCAUAAUGUCAUUUAUUUGAUGUUAUGGGGAAUUAGGACUGUUACCUUGAAAAAAUUAGAGUGUUUAAAGCAAGCUUACGCUUGAAUACAUUAGCAUGGAAUAAUGAAAUAGGACAUCAGAUUCUAUUUUGUUGGUUUCUAGGAUCGAUGUAAUGAUUAAUAGGGAUAGUUGGGGGCAUUAGUAUUCAAUUGUCAGAGGUGAAAUUCUUGGAUUUAUUGAAGACUAACUACUGCGAAAGCAUUUGCCAAGGAUGUUUUCAUUAAUCAAGAACGAAAGUUAGGGGAUCGAAGACGAUCAGAUACCGUCGUAGUCUUAACCAUAAACUAUGCCGACUAGGGAUCGGAUGAUGUUAAUUUUAUAAUGACUCAUUCG